GGUUCGUUAGCUUAGUUGGUAGAGCAUCUGACUUUUAAUCAGAAGACCUGGGUUCAAAUCCUAGACGAGCCACCA
rnacentral:tRNA from 1 species